AUGGCAUCCCUCACUCAGGUGCUCUGCCUCCUGCUUUUCUGGCUAGCAGGUUCCCAAGGGGAAGUUGUUCUGACUCAGUCUCCAGCCUCUGUGUCUGUGUCUCUGGGAGAGAGAGUCAGUAUCAAGUGCAAGGCCAGUCAGAGCCUCUUAUACAGUGAUGGGUACACUUAUCUGUACUGGUUCCAACAGAAAAAAGAUCAUAUUAAAGCACUGAUCUACAGAGUUUCCAAUCUAUACACUGGGGUUCCCUCUCGAUUCAGUGGCAGUGGGUCUGGGACAGAUUUCACCCUCACAAUCAGCAGUCUGGAGCCUGAGGAUGCUGCCAUCUAUUACUGUUUUCAAAGCACUCACUCCUACACAGUGCUUCAGCCCUGA